GUUUAAAGAAAAAAAUGAAGAAAUACGUACACACAGCAACAGAAGGUUCUCUCUGCCUGCCUCCACCAAGUGUUGAUUAUGCACCCCCCGACUUAUCAUUCCUCCAUUUUCAGCAGAUUUGGCCCCUCAAUUAUGACACCUCAUGGAUGUAGCACUGCUGGGUGAGGAUCUCCCUGACCCACCUUGUCUUGGCAAGUGGCACCCAUACGUGGGGGCUCGAAUCCAGGUUGAAGGGUCACCGGAGAGAUGGUUGGAGAAUGUGGAAAACUAAGCUGUAGGACACCUGAGUACUCUUAAAGCAAUUCCCAUGGUGAGUAAGAAGGGGAGCUCAGAAGCAUCAGGGUAACAAUGGGACAAGUGUGGGCUCUGG